UACGUAGGGUGCGAGCGUUGUCCGGAAUUAUUGGGCGUAAAGGGCUCGUAGGCGGUUUGUCGCGUCGGGAGUGAAAUCAUCUGGCUUAACUGGGUGCUUGCUUUCGAUACGGGCAGACUAGAGGUAUGCAGGGGAGAACGGAAUUCCUGGUGUAGCGGUGAAAUGCGCAGAUAUCAGGAGGAACACCGGUGGCGAAGGCGGUUCUCUGGGCAUGAUCUGACGCUGAGGAGCGAAAGUGUGGGGAGCGAACAGGAUUAGAAACCCCAGUAGUCC
rnacentral:rRNA from 1 species